rnacentral:rRNA from 1 species
UGGGGAAUAUUGCGCAAUGGGCGGAAGCCUGACGCAGCGACGCCGCGUGGGGGAUGACGGCCUUCGGGUUGUAAACCUCUUUCAGCAGGGACGAAGCUAACGUGACGGUACCUGCAGAAGAAGCGCCGGCUAACUACGUGCCAGCAGCCGCGGUAAUACGUAGGGCGCAAGCGUUGUCCGGAAUUAUUGGGCGUAAAGAGCUCGUAGGCGGUUUGUCGCGUCUGUCGUGAAAGCCCACGGCUUAACUGUGGGUCUGCGGUGGAUACGGGCAGACUAGAGGCAGGUAGGGGAGAAUGGAAUUCCCGGUGUAGCGGUGAAAUGCGCAGAUAUCGGGAGGAACACCGGUGGCGAAGGCGGUUCUCUGGGCCUGUACUGACGCUGAGGAGCGAAAGCGUGGGGAGCGAACAGGAUUAGAUACCCUGGUAGUCCACGCCGUAAACGUUGGGCGCUAGGUGUGGGGUUCUUCCACGGAUUCCGCGCCGUAGCUAACGCAUUAAGCGCCCCGCCUGGGGAGUACGGCCGC